GGUUUUUUGUAUUUAUAUAAAGAAUCGAGCCUGCCCACUGAGGUUAUUUGAAGGGCUGCAGUAUUUUGACUGUACAAAGGUAGCAUAAUCAUUAGUCUUUUAAUUGGGGACUGGAAUGAAAGGUUUGACAGGUUUUAACUGUCUCUGAAGUAAUGGUUAAAUUUUUUUCUUUGUGAAAAAACAGAGAUAAUUUAAAGGGACGAGAAGACCCUAUUAAACUUGAUUUAUAUUGUAAACUAUUUAGAUAUAUAAAAUUAAUUAUUAAUUUAAAUUUUACUGGGGCGGUAGAUAAUAAACGUUAUUUUAUUGGAAUAUGUUUAGUAGCUUUUAUAAGGAUCCAAUUGAUUGAUAUUAAGAUAAAGUUACUAUAGGGAUAACAGCGUAAUAUUUUUUAAGAGUUCAUAUUGACAAAAAUGUUUGCGACCUCGAUGUUGGAUUAAGAAGUCUUUUUGGUGCAGAAGCCAUAAAAGAUAGUCUGUUCGACUAUUAAAAUCUU
rnacentral:rRNA from 1 species